rnacentral:rRNA from 1 species
UAGAGUUUGAUCAUGGCUCAGGAUGAACGCUAGCGGCAGGCCUAAUACAUGCAAGUCGGGCGGCAAGCGGUGUAGCAAUACACUGCCUAGAGCGGCGAACGGGUGCGCAACGCGUAUGCAACCUGGCCCCUACCGGGGGAUAGCCCGCGGAAACGCGGAUUAACACCCCAUGGCGCGUGUUUGCCGCAUGGCGGAUACGCUAAAGGUUACGGUAGGGGAUGGGCAUGCGUGGGAUUAGCUAGUUGGUGGGGCAACGGCCCACCAAGGCGACGAUCCCUAGGGGUUCUGGGAGGAAGGUCCCCCACACUGGCACUGAGAUACGGGCCAGACUCCUACGGGAGGCAGCAGUAGGGAAUAUUGGGCAAUGGGCGGAAGCCUGACCCAGCCAUGCCGCGUGCGGGAAGAAGGCCCUUUGGGUCGUAAACCGCCUUUCCGGGGGAAGAAAAGGCCCGUGCGCGGGACAUUGCCGGUACUCUGGGAAUAAGCACCGGCUAACUCCGUGCCAGCAGCCGCGGUAAU